rnacentral:rRNA from 1 species
GAUGAACGCUGGCGGCGUGCCUAAUACAUGCAAGUCGAGCGAACAGACGAGGAGCUUGCUCCUCUGACGUUAGCGGCGGACGGGUGAGUCACACGUGGAUAACCUACCUAUAAGACUGGGAUAACUUCGGGAAACCGGGGCUAAUACCGGAUAAUCUAUUGAACCGCAUGGUUCAAUAGUGAAAGACGGUUUUGCUGUCACUUAUAGAUGGAUCCGCGCCGCAUUAGCUAGUUGGUAAGGUAACGGCUUACCAAGGCAACGAUGCGUAGCCGACCUGAGAGGGUGAUCGGCCACACUGGAACGGAGACACGGUCCAGACUCCUACGGGAGGCAGCAGUAGGGAAUCUUCCGCAAUGGGCGAAAGCCUGACGGAGCAACGCCGCGUGAGUGAUGAAGGUCUUCGGAUCGUAAAACUCUGUUAUUAGGGAAGAACAAAUGUGUAAGUAACUAUGCACGUCUUGACGGUACCUAAUCAGAAAGCCACGGCUAACUACGUG